UCUCCGUUGGUGAACCAGCGGAGGGAUCAUUACCGAGUUUACAACUCCCAAACCCCUAUGUGAACGUUACCAAACUGUUGCCUCGGCGGGAAAUUCAUGCCCCGGGCGCGUCGCAGCCCCGGACCAAGGCGCCCGCCGGAGGACCAACCAAAACUCUUUUGUAUAUCCCUCGCGGACUUUUAUAAUUCUGAACCAUCUCGGCGCCCCUAGCGGGCGUUUCGAAAAUGAAUCAAAACUUUCAACAACGGAUCUCUUGGUUCUG
rnacentral:misc_RNA from 1 species